AUUGAACGCUGGCGGCAUGCCUUACACAUGCAAGUCGAACGGCAGCGGACCUUCGGGUGCCGGCGAGUGGCGAACGGGUGAGUAAUAUAUCGGAACGUACCUUUCAGUGGGGGAUAACGUAGCGAAAGUUACGCUAAUACCGCAUAUUCUGUGAGCAGGAAAGCAGGGGAUCGCAAGACCUUGCGCUGAUUGAGCGGCCGAUAUCAGAUUAGCUAGUUGGUGAGGUAAAGGCUCACCAAGGCGACGAUCUGUAGCGGGUCUGAGAGGAUGAUCCGCCACACUGGAACUGAGACACGGUCCAGACUCCUACGGGAGGCAGCAGUGGGGAAUUUUGGACAAUGGGCGCAAGCCUGAUCCAGCCAUGCCGCGUGAGUGAAGAAGGCCUCGGUUGUAAGACUACUUUCGGUCCGGGUAACGGAAAGUACGACACA
rnacentral:rRNA from 1 species